rnacentral:rRNA from 1 species
UACGUAGGGUGCGAGCGUUAAUCGGAAUUACUGGGCGUAAAGCGUGCGCAGGCGGUUUUGUAAGCCAGAUGUGAAAUCCCCGGGCUCAACCUGGGAAUGGCAUUUGGGACUGCAAGGCUGGAGUGCGGCAGAGGAGACUGGAAUUCCCGGUGUAGCAGUGAAAUGCGUAGAUAUCAUGAGGAAUACCAGAGGCGAAGGCGGCUACCUGGACAAUUGCUGACGCUCAGGCACGAAAGCGUGGGGAGCAAAAGGG